rnacentral:lncRNA from 1 species
GACUUUCUGAGGGAGAGCUGGAGCCACGGCCCACCAGCACUGUCAACCCACUGGACAUCGCUAGGAAGAGAGCUGUGAGGUUUGAGUUUCAAAGAAUACCAAAAAUCGGAGUUGACUGGCUAAUGUUGUAUUGAUGUUAAUAUUCUACUUCAAUUACUGCAUCACUGCAGUGUGGUUAUAUAGGUUAACAUUUGGUGAAAAUUAUAUAGAAUAUUUUUAUGUCUGGAAUAGCUUUAAAACUGUAAAAAGCAAACCCCAAAGCACUUCUUGGCUUAUCCAUCUCUAGCUCUUCUUAGCUCAGACAGCUUGUUGGCUUUUUCAGCCUGCUCAAGCAAUCCUAGGAGGAAUGCCUGGGGUGAGACAUGUCAGUCACAGAAGAGGAGAAGGACAGAGCCAGGCUGAGCACUAGGAGGUGUUAAGACAGCAUGAGAGAUGUCUGUUUCAGGGCCUCCUAAAACCCACUUAGUUGAGUCCUCAGCCUCCUUAAAACCUUUAGUAUCCAUCCUUAGCCUACCUGGGCAGUGCCUUCUUCAAAGCCUUUGAUGACUUCCUGUUUGCCAAUUCUGAACUUGAAAGGUUUGUUUCUGUCUCUGGAUGAAUCAAAUUUCUUGCCAUUUUGAAGCAUUCCUAUCCAAGUAAGAAGAGGGCAGAAAAGAGCCCUGGGUAUGAGUAAACCAGCAGUUAGACCCAGCAUGUCUAAACACAACUCCUCUUCUACACAAACCCACUCUUCUUCGCCCCUCCCAUCAGCCCUGCUGUCAAGCAGGAAGCCUGGACCCAUCUCUCUGCCUCACCCCUAAGUCUUACAUCUCUUUGGAAUCCAGCUUCAGUUUCUGCUACUGGCACCUGUGGUGUCAUGGCGUCACCUCCACUGCUCACCUGUGGACUGGACCAGCCUCCAAACUGUCGAGUCUACUCCUCACCAGUCUUCCUCUCUCUAGGUGGGCAGAUUUUCCUUUUCCCCACAAUUCUGAUCAUAUUUCCUUCCCUGCUUAGAAAACUUCAAUAGCUCCCAGAGCAGAAUCCAAAAGCCCAAGGCUAACAAUGCCUGCCUUCAAGUUCUCUCUCCCCUCAUACCCCCUCUCCCUACCUAUUCAGAGCACACCAUUCUCAAGUUCCUCCAUACCUGCUAAACCUUUCACAUUACUUUCAGGCUGUAGCCCAGGCUAGCCUGGAGUUCAGUAUGUAGUCUGGCUGGCCUCGAACUUGCAGGAGUUUCCAGGUGCCAAAUCUCAGGUGUGAGACACCACACCCAGUUAGACAGGGUUUUGACAUCAGCACUAACACUGUGUGAUCUUGGAGAAAUAGGCCUCAUAUUUUCCACAUUUAACACAUCUAGCUUUGCCAGCUUACAAGUAUCUGAGCAUCUAUUAUUUUACUUCUGAAUUCCUACAACUUCAAUGUGUACUAGGGAGUCUUAUUUACCUACCUUCUGGGUAGAAUAGAUUGGGCUCCUGCCCUGAGUUCUAAAUGUGGCAAAGGAAAAAUCCUUCUGGCUACCCAGAGAUACACACAGAUGGAUGCUACAGAGAUCAAACACAAACUCAUGCAUAUACACAGUUGCUAAGAUAGUCACAUUCACAGAGAUAUUUAUGCAUGCUCACAAGCAUUUACACACAGACACACAGGAGAGAAGCCCUGAUGGUCAAACAGAUGCUUAGAAAAUAUUUAGAUCGACAGACCUACAUAUAUUCAUACAGAUAGGCCCUUGGACAAAUGUAUGCUUGAAUAUGUGCACAUGCACAGUCCAUUUAUAGACUGCCUUUCCCAUUUCCCCAAUGCCUUCAGCUUUCAUAAAGUUGGAUCUACUGGAAACUGUGUAACAGCUAUCUGAGGCUGUGAUUUCAGACAAAGCUACAUAAUCCAGAAACAGGCCUACAUAAAUAUGUUGACUUCUUUUGCAAAGAUGUUUCUUUAAUACAACAAGUAAAGGAUGGCUUUUUGGAUUAACAUUGCUGGAUUGAACCUAUAUCCACAUUGGGGAAAAACUGAACUUAAACCUCUAGCACCUCUAAACAUAAGAAUCAAUUCUAGAUGAAUCCUAGACCUAAAUAUGAAUAAUAAAAUAAAAAUAAUAAGGGAGUAGUAGGCAUCCUACCAUUCAGAAUUUCUACAAAGUAGCUAGGCAUGAUGGUAUGCACUGUAAUCCCAAGAUUCAGCUGGACGCAGGAGGACCAGGAGUUCAAGGCUAGCCUUGACUAUAGGACAAAUUCAAAGCCAACCUCAGUCACCUGGGACCGUGUCUCAAAUAACAAAACA